rnacentral:misc_RNA from 1 species
AAUCGCUAUAAGCACCUUCCUGAGGUUAAGCGAAUUGUAAGGCAUAGACACUUGCCGAAACCCAUAUACAAAGCUGCUUCUCUUAGACGUACAAUGACUGAAGCUGAAAGGAGGAAAGAAGAAAGAAGGAAAGCUCAUAGUGCUCCAGGAAGUGUUGCCACUGAACCAUUACGUAAAAGAAGAAUCAUCCAAGAAGUUGAGUGAGUUAUGGCAUUAUCAGUUACUUUGAUCAUCUGUCCUCGGCGUGAAGGUCCCUAGGUCAGGCCAUUCCCUGGUUGCCAUUCCCCAUUGUGGUCCAAAGUGAACUAAACAUGCAAGCUCUAGAGAAUCAUUAUUACAAGCUCUUUGUAUUUAACAGUUUUGAUAGGCCAAGCUCUUCCAUGUUAGUGUUACAUGAUCAAAUAAUUUUUUCCCCCUUCUAAUGGUCGAGAAAACUUUGAUUUAUUUUUUUGUUAAACAGAAAAAUAAAUCAAAGUUUUCU